rnacentral:rRNA from 1 species
UACGAAGGGGGCUAGCGUUGCUCGGAAUCACUGGGCGUAAAGCGCACGUAGGCGGCUUUUUAAGUCGGGGGUGAAAUCCUGGAGCUCAACUCCAGAACUGCCUUCGAUACUGAAGAGCUUGAGUCCGGGAGAGGUGAGUGGAACUGCGAGUGUAGAGGUGAAAUUCGUAGAUAUUCGCAAGAACACCAGUGGCGAAGGCGGCUCACUGGCCCGGUACUGACGCUGAGGUGCGAAAGCGUGGGGAGCAAACAGG